rnacentral:rRNA from 1 species
UUACGGCCGUAUCACGCUGAAACCCCGGUUCCCGUACAAUCACCGAAGUUAAGCAACGUCAAGCCUGGUCUGCACCUAGAUGGGUGACUGCUUGGAAAUACCAGGUGU